UACGUAGGGGGCUAGCGUUGUCCGGAAUCAUUGGGCGUAAAGAGCGUGCAGGCGGUCCGGUAAGUCGGUUGUGAAAGUCCAGGGCUCAACCCUGGGAUGCCGAUCGAUACUGUCGGACUAGAGUUCGGAAGAGGCGAGUGGAAUUCCCGGUGUAGCGGUGAAAUGCGCAGAUAUCGGGAGGAACACCAAUGGCGAAGGCAGCUCGCUGGGACGUUACUGACGCUGAGACGCGAAAGCGUGGGGAGCAAACAGG
rnacentral:rRNA from 1 species